rnacentral:rRNA from 1 species
AUUGAACGCUGGCGGCAUGCCUUACACAUGCAAGUCGAACGGCAGCACGGGGGCAACCCUGGUGGCGAGUGGCGAACGGGUGAGUAAUACAUCGGAACGUGCCCAGUAGUGGGGGAUAGCUCGGCGAAAGCCGGAUUAAUACCGCAUACGACCUACGGGUGAAAGCGGGGGAUCGCAAGACCUCGCGCUAUUGGAGCGGCCGAUGUCAGAUUAGGUUGUUGGUGGGGUAAAGGCCUACCAAGCCGACGAUCUGUAGCUGGUCUGAGAGGACGACCAGCCACACUGGGACUGAGACACGGCCCAGACUCCUACGGGAGGCAGCAGUGGGGAAUUUUGGACAAUGGGCGCAAGCCUGAUCCAGCCAUGCCGCGUGCGGGAAGAAGGCCU